UCCGGUGCCGAUGCGCUUAUGGGACACACCCGUUCCCAUCCCGAACACGAUGGUUAAGACGUAAGCGGCCGAUGGUACUAUAUUGGAGACGAUAUGGGAGAGCAGGUGGGUGCCGGAU
rfam:Clostridium hathewayi WAL-18680 genomic scaffold supercont1.4, whole genome shotgun sequence.